rnacentral:rRNA from 1 species
GAUGAACGCUGACAGAAUGCUUAACACAUGCAAGUCUACUUGAAUUUGGGUUUUUUAACUUAGAUUUGGGUGGCGGACGGGUGAGUAACGCGUAAAGAACUUGCCUCACAGCUAGGGACAACAUUUGGAAACGAAUGCUAAUACCUGAUAUCAUGAUUAUAAGGCAUCUUAGACUUAUGAAAGCUAUAUGCGCUGUGAGAGAGCUUUGCGUCCCAUUAGCUAGUUGGAGAGGUAACGGCUCACCAAGGCGAUGAUGGGUAGCCGGCCUGGGAGGGUGAACGGCCACAAGGGGACUGAGACACGGCCCUUACGCCUACGGGAGGCAGCAGUGGGGAAUAUUGGACAAUGGACCAAGAGUCUGAUCCAGCAAUUCUGUGUGCACGAUGACGUUUUUCGGAAUGUAAAGUGCUUUCAGUUGGGAAGAAAAAAAUGACGGUACCAACAGAAGAAGUGACGGCUAAAUACGUG